rnacentral:rRNA from 1 species
CGGCGUCGAGCGGCGGACGGGUGAGUAAUGCCUAGGAAAUUGCCCUGAUGUGGGGGAUAACCAUUGGAAACGAUGGCUAAUACCGCAUAAUGCCUACGGGCCAAAGAGGGGGACCUUCGGGCCUCUCGCGUCAGGAUAUGCCUAGGUGGGAUUAGCUAGUUGGUGAGGUAAGGGCUCACCAAGGCGACGAUCCCUAGCUGGUCUGAGAGGAUGAUCAGCCACACUGGAACUGAGACACGGUCCAGACUCCUACGGGAGGCAGCAGUGGGGAAUAUUGCACAAUGGGCGCAAGCCUGAUGCAGCCAUGCCGCGUGUGUGAAGAAGGCCUUCGGGUUGUAAAGCACUUUCAGUCGUGAGGAAGGUAGUGUAGUUAAUAGCUGCAUUAUUUGACGUUAGCGACAG